AAAUUAACGUAUUUUCCAGCAGUGUGGGGUUUUUUGGGUACUGUGGGGUUAACCCCAUAAUGAAGAGGUCUAAUUACGUUCAAAAUUACUCUAUGAGGUCGAAAAACCUAAAAUUAGAUUUAACCUCACAAAGACUUUGUCCAAAUUUUGGACAUGUCCUUAGCCCAAAACGCUCAGACAUUCAGAAAUCUGCUGUUUAGAGGAGUUCGGUAAUUGAAUCGAGGAGUUCCGAAUACCUGAGCAUGCGCAUAUAUUUAAAACUAACUGCGCAUGCGCAGAAUACGGAAGUAGCUGUGUGGACAUUUUGUAUUAGCAGUGAGGAAAUUCGGAAACACAAAAAGCAAAUGCAAGGUCUGCAAUGAAAAUCGACCGAUACCCUGGGGUCGGGCUAGUGGUUUUCUGCAAGAGGGUCGCCCCGUUGGCCAGUUAAAAAAGAUAAUAUUAUUUAUACACGUGCAAUACAUGCAAAGCACACCUGAGUUCAGAUACUGAAAGUGAACAUCAGUGGAACUUUGAUGAUCUAGGCCGCUCUAUUUUUGCAGCAACACCAGCAGGCGUCGGACAUUCAUAAAGUUGAAAGAACAAACCUAUGACUUGAACACACAAUUUGUGAUCUGAAUAUAGUUCACAAAUUUAAGGAAAGCAACUAUCAAAGACAUCCAGAUUGAUGGUAUACAUGAAGUAUGAAUGAAAGACUUUUCAGAAGAACAAGCACAAUCCCGAUUCAUUCUUGCCAUUGUC